rnacentral:rRNA from 1 species
CGGUUGAUCCUGCCGGAGGUUACUGCUAUCGGUGUUCGCCUAAGCCAUGCGAGUCAUAUGUUCUUCGUGAACAUGGCGUACUGCUCAGUAACACGUGAAUAACCUGCCCUUGGGUCCGGCAUAACCCCGGGAAACUGGGGAUAAUUCCGGAUAACGCACAUAUGCUGGAAUGCUUUAUGCGUAAAAUGGAUUCGUCUGCCCAAGGAUGGGUCUGCGGCCUAUCAGGUAGUAGUGGGUGUAAUGUACCUACUAGCCAACAACGGGUACGGGUUGUGAGAGCAAGAGCCCGGAGAUGGAUUCUGAGACAUGAAUCCAGGCCCUACGGGGCGCAGCAGGCGCGAAAACUUUACAAUGCGGGAAACCGUGAUAAGGGGACACCGAGUGCCAUCAUCAUAUGCUGGCUGUCCAGGUGUGUAAAAUACACCUGUUAGCAAGGGCCGGGCAAGACCGGUGCCAGCCGCCGCGGUAACACCGGCGGCCCGAGUGGUGAUCGUGAUUAUUGGGUUUAAAGGGUCCGUAGCCGGUUUGGUCAGUCCUCCGGGAAAUCUGACGGCUUAACCGUUAGGCUUUCGGGGGAUACUGCCAGGCUUGGAACCGGGAGAGGUUAGAGGUACUACAGGGGUAGGAGUGAAAUCUUGUAAUCCCUGUGGGANCACCUGUGGCGAAGNNGUCUUACCAGAACGGGUUCGACGGUGAGGGACGAAAGCUGGGGGCACGAACCGGAUUAGAUANCCGGGUAGUCCCAGCCGUAAACGAUGCUCGCUAGGUGUCNNNAUGGCGCGACCGUGUCUG